GCAUUGGGAUAGGAUUCCAUUUAAAGAAUGGCUAGAGUAAUCUAAGGGAAAGCGCAACAGAAAACAAACCGCCGCAAUCGUGGCAAGGGUGAAAAGGUGGGGUAAGAGCCUACCGAAAGUGUAGUAAUACACUUUGACUUUGCAAGCCCAAUCCGCAGCAAGAAAGGUAUGGUUAGUAUCCCAAAUCUCUAAACCUUUUGCUAGAAUUUUGCUGCAAGGCAAAAUCCAGAUAAAUAGCCACAUAA
rnacentral:misc_RNA from 1 species